AGUGAACGCUGGCGGUAGGCCUAACACAUGCAAGUCGAACGGCAGCACAGUAAGAGCUUGCUCUUACGGGUGGCGAGUGGCGGACGGGUGGGGAAUACAUCGGAAUCUACUUUUUCGUGGGGGAUAACGUAGGGAAACUUACGCUAAUACCGCAUACGACCUACGGGUGAAAGCAGGGGAUCUUCGGACCUUGCGCGAUUGAAUGAGCCGAUGUCGGAUUAGCUAGUUGGCGGGGUAAAGGCCCACCAAGGCGACGAUCCGUAGCUGGUCUGAGAGGAUGAUCAGCCACACUGGAACUGAGACACGGUCCAGACUCCUACGGGAGGCAGCAGUGGGGAAUAUUGGACAAUGGGCGCAAGUCUGAUCCAGCCAUACCGCGUGGGUGAAGAAGGCCUUCGGGUUGUAAAGCCCUUUUGUUGGGAAAGAAAAGCAGCAGGUUAAUACCCCGCUGUUCUGACGGUACCCAAAGAAUAAGCACCGGCUAACUUCGUG
rnacentral:rRNA from 1 species